rnacentral:rRNA from 1 species
UGGGGAAUUUUGGACAAUGGGCGAAAGCCUGAUCCAGCCAUGCCGCGUGCAGGAUGAAGGCCUUCGGGUUGUAAACUGCUUUUGUACGGAACGAAAAGUCUCUUUCUAAUAAAGAGGGAUCAUGACGGUACCGUAAGAAUAAGCACCGGCUAACUACGUGCCAGCAGCCGCGGUAAUACGUAGGGUGCAAGCGUUAAUCGGAAUUACUGGGCGUAAAGCGUGCGCAGGCGGUUAUGUAAGACAGUUGUGAAAUCCCCGGGCUCAACCUGGGAACUGCAUCUGUGACUGCAUAGCUAGAGUACGGUAGAGGGGGAUGGAAUUCCGCGUGUAGCAGUGAAAUGCGUAGAUAUGCGGAGGAACACCGAUGGCGAAGGCAAUCCCCUGGACCUGUACUGACGCUCAUGCACGAAAGCGUGGGGAGCAAACAGG